rnacentral:rRNA from 1 species
GACGAACGCUGGCGGCGUGCUUAACACAUGCAAGUCGAACGAUGAUCAGGAGCUUGCUCCUGUGAUUAGUGGCGAACGGGUGAGUAACACGUGAGUAACCUGCCCCUGACUCUGGGAUAAGCGUUGGAAACGACGUCUAAUACUGGAUAUGAUCACUGGCCGCAUGGUCUGGUGGUGGAAAGAUUUUUUGGUUGGGGAUGGACUCGCGGCCUAUCAGCUUGUUGGUGAGGUAAUGGCUCACCAAGGCGACGACGGGUAGCCGGCCUGAGAGGGUGACCGGCCACACUGGGACUGAGACACGGCCCAGACUCCUACGGGAGGCAGCAGUGGCGAAGAUUGCACAAUGGGCGAAAGCCUGAUGCAGCAACGCCGCGUGAGGGAUGACGGCCUUCGGGUUGUAAACCUCUUUUAGUAGGGAAGAAGCGAAAGUGACGGUACCUGCAGAAAAAGCACCGGCUAACUACGUG